CUGAAUAAAGGCACUGGGAGAGAAAAAGAAGCCAGGAAAGAAGGAGUCAGAUAGUCUAAACUGUAGUGGUUAUCAGUGGGAAGAAGGAAGUGGGAAGGGGCAAGGGCGAGGUAGGGGAUUAAGAGGUACAAACUACUAUGCAUAAAACAAAUAAGCAACAAGGACUUAUUGUACAGCACAGGGAUAUAUAGCCAUUAUUUUAUCAUAACUUUAAAUGGAGUAUCAUCUCUAAAAGGACUGAAUCGCUAUGUUGUAAACCUGAAACUGAAGAAGAGUAUAAAUCAACUAUACUUCAGUUUAAAAUGCAAAUUAAAACCACAGUGAAAUACCAUUACAUACCUAUUAAAUUAAAUUAAAAUUAAAUUGAAAGUAUAAAGACUGACCAUAUCAAGAUUUACUGAGAACUUACACAAACUGAAACUUUCAUACACUGCUGCUGAGAAUAUGCAAUGAUAUGACCACUUUGGAAAACUUUUUUGCAGUUUCUUAAGAAGUUAAACGCAUACCUACCAUAAGAUCCAAGUAUUUCAUGUGGAAGUAAAGGGAAAAAAGAAAGCACAUGUUCAUUCAAAGAUGUGGGAAUGAAUGUUCAUAGCAGCUUUAUUUGUAAUAAGGCUCCAAACUGGAAACAGCCCAGGUAUCCUGGACGAGUGGACUUCUCAACACUGUGGUACAUCCUGACAAUGGACGGCUUCUCCACAGUUAACUGGAAUGAGCUUUGAUACACGCACCCACAGGAAUGAAACCCAAGGUAAUUACGCUGAGUGUAAAGUUCCAACAGCACCAGAACAGAGUGCAUAGACUGUGAUUCUAUUUAUGUAAAAUUUCAGAAAAUGCAAACUAGUCUAUCACAACAGAAAGGAGAUUAAUGGUUGCUUGGGAGAGGGGUGACAGGAGUGGAAGCGAGACAUUAUAAAGGGGCACCAGGAAACUUGGGGAAGUGAUGCAUAUCUUCACAGUCUUGAUUGUGAUGAUGGUUUCACAGAUAUGUGCAUAUGUCAAAACUUAGCACAUUGUAUACUUUAAAUAUGUACAGCUUAUUGUGUGUCAGUUAUGCCUCAAUAAAGCUGUUGAAUUUUCUUUUAAAUGAAAGUCCUAGCUGAUUUUAGAGCAAAUAUUCAAGCAGGAGUCUCUGAAUACAGUGGUCAAUUAGACCAAAUAUUUGGUUACUGUGGGCCUUGACCUUUUCAGGCACAAGAAAAAAUAUUAAGUAAAAGGAUUGGAAAUAACCAAUAGCAAAGAAUUUGGUUGGGCAGGCCUAGGAAAGUUUAUUUGUUUAUAUGAGCAGCUGCCAUUUAAAUGUCAGCCACUUCACUUGGAGGAAGCAAAUCACUUUGGAAUAGAUUAAGGGGAAAAUGUAAGACCAGAAGGCAUUUACCACCUUGAACCUUUUGGUUGGUGUCUCAAGUUGAGCUCCCCAGAAGCAGACUCUGAGAUGAAAGCCAUGAGGAAGUGGCUGAUUAGGGAAGUACUUCCAGGGGAGACAAGUAAGGUGUGGAGGGAGCAGGACAAGGAAAGGAAGGAAACAGAACAAGGAUAUGAGGUAGCUUCACCCAGAUCCCACAGGGGGAACAGAGGGUGUUAAUCACACAUGACAGUUGUCCAAUCUGAGGCAAGAGAACUGGGUUUUCUGCACUGGUAAAGGGCCACUUUUGAUAGGGGACACUGAAUGUAAAUUCCCAAACGUGUCUAGCUCUAUGUGAUUGCAAGCCAUGUGGCUCCAGCAUCAGGGUGAUGCUCUGAAGAAUCACAGGUGCCUUAACUAUGUGGCCUCUCUAUACCUCUUGGAAUACAGAACUAGUCUCUGUAUAACAAGUGGGCAAAUCAAAUGGAUCUAGACCUGAGCCCUACCCCUUUGAAGUUAUGGAGAACUGAAGUGGUCCUGAGUAAGCUUACUUAUAGGAGAAGAAGUUCAAGUGAGAGGAGUUCACCAUGAAGAUAGGGGAUGUGGGUUUGUAGCUGCCACUAUUAAAUGAUCUAUCACAACAUGGCAGGUUCACUUUGGAACUUUGGGUGAAUGUAUGAGAAGGACAGUUAUAACCUCAGGAGCCAAGGGUGGAGCGCACAUAGACAAGCGUGCCACUGCGAUAACAGGACCAUCAGUGGUCAUGAUGGCAGUAGAAGGCAGAGACGCAUUGGCCUGGGAGAACCAAGUCUUUUCACUGGGGACACAGUCAAACUUAGUCAUUAUAGUAAUAGGAACAAGGAAUAAAAAGGGAAAUCUGUUAGUGAAUUGAUCAGAUUCUGUAGUUCCUCUCUGUGGAUAUCUGAAAGCUCAACUAACUAGACUAAAUGCUGAGAUUCUAGGACAAUACAGCAAGGGGCUCCAAGAUAAAGAUAUACUGCUUCCUGCCAAUAUGGACAUGUGGUACCUAGAUAUCUUUUUUUUUUUUCUUUUGGCUUCCCCAAGGCACAUGGAGUUCCUGUUCCAUCAGAGCAUUAGAGACACGAGAAAAAUUACUUCCCUGAAAACUGGAGCAACGGACAAGUGGAUACAGAAAGCCACAGCUUAUGGAGCAGAAAACUCUUUGCUACAGCCAACACUGGCAGGAAUAUUUUAUACUGUAAUUGACAAAUUCCUGCAGGCUCAAUAUGGACAUGUGUAAGAGUUAAAAACUCUACGAAGCCCAGCUUUAAGGAGCACUCCCUACAUUUGUCGGUUUCAUCUCCAAGAAUCCUAUUAGUUUGUCACUGUUAAGUUUGGAGAAAAAUGCCGUUGUGCUUGGGGGAGGGAAAAGUCACCAUUCUGAAACAUAUCCAGAGCUCUCUGUUCUCCUCAGCAAGACCUACCCUCAAGGGAAACUCAUUUACAAGUGUCUAAUCUACUGAGGUUUUACCAAAGCCUAAUAACCCUGGGGACAGGGAAAUAUCCAGCUCAUGUUCACUAAAAGACUAAAAUCUAAUUAUAGGACUAUAGAAAACUCCCCCCUCCCACCCCAUAUACCAUACUACCAUCAAUUCAGCUCCUGUAUAAUAGCAGAUGAUUACAGCUGAGAGAACUGCAGGCCUCAGACCCUAUUUAAGAAGUUUCUAGGAAAACUCCAAACAAUAGGGGAGACAAAAAUAAGGACACUAGUGGAAAUUUUAGACUCUUGACACCACAGUUACAGCAAAUAGUAAACACACCUAACCCCUAGUCAGAUAGGUGUAAAACUUCACACUAAGGGUCUACCCAAACAUGUUCCUUUUACCUAGUACAUCAUGCCUGUCUCAAUUUUUAAAAAGUUAGAGGGAAAGCUAAAGGGAAAGACAAACAAAUAAACCCGACAGUCUUAAAAGGUAAAGCAAGCAUCAGACCCAGACACAGAUAUGGAAGAGAUUUUGGAAUUAAAAUAACUAUGAUUAAUAUGCUAAGGGCUUUAGUGGAAAAGUGGAGUUCAUGAAAGAACAGAUGUAAGAUGAGAUGUUGAAGCUCUAAGAAUCAAAAGAAUACUGGUAAUCAAAACCUAUAAAAUAAAUGAAGAAUGCUUUUGUUAGGCUUAUUAGCAAACUAGACAUGUUCAAGGAAAAAAAAAAUCUGAACUUGUCAAUAAAACUUCAGUGAAACUGUCAAUAAAACUUCAAAAAGUGAAAUGCAAGAAAAAAAAUAAAAAAGAAUGGAGCCUAAGAACUAUGGAACAUUUACAUAAGCUAUCACAACAUACAUUUAGUGGGGAUACUAGAA
rnacentral:lncRNA from 1 species